AUGCUGCUCUCUGUGUCCUGCAGUGGGAACAGGAAGAUCACAGUCAGAGGGUCCCACCUGAAGUUUGUUGAAGGCAUUGUACACAGCCAUGCCAUGCAGGAAGUCGCACUUCCUAAAAACAGCAGCUAUCAGAGUCUCACCUAUGACUCACCUUCAGCUGAAAACAGUCCUGGGAUUUCUAGCAGCACUGUGUUUUUGAAAGUAGCUAAUCAAACCUUGGCCUGCUCCACAAACAUGUCCUACUAUCCAGACCCUGAGUUUAUCAGCUUCACAGCCACAAGAACAGGAAACAGUGUUUGCAUCACUAUACGGAAAAAGGCAGACAAACUGGAGAUGACAACAACAGAAUUAUCAGUGUGGGGCGUUCAAGACAGUAAGGAAUACUGCUGCAUCAUGGAAACAAACAAAACCAGUGAUGAGACUCACUCUUUCACUUGUGAGGUUAAAAACCCACCCGACGUGGAAUUUCAGCUGUUGUUGGUAAAUGUUUCUUUCAUACUAACACAAGGCACUGUUUAUGGACAGACAAACAUACCUAUCCGGUCUUUAAGUCUGGCAUGAUUAGCCAUUUCUGGGUCCAAACUCCGCUUCAGUCAAACAAACACUGCAGCAUCACCGAGAGUUAAAAACUGUCUAAAUUCUUUCAUCGUUACUAAAAUGAUCAGUGUUGCUGCUUUACCAGGUGUAAAAAUUAAGUUUAACAUCCAGGCAUCCAUAAAAACUAUUUAUGAAAUUUAACAGAGUUAGAUGUUAGCAGGAGGUUAGCUCACUAGUUUCCAUCUAAUUAUGGUAUGUUCUGACUGAGAGAUUUCUGAAAAAAUAAAGACAUACAGCUCUGCUAUCACUUCCAACAUAAAUGAAGACAGAAAGUAAACAGUGGUGACAUUUGGAGGCUUACUGAAGUUGGACAAGCUGGUAUACAGUGAUGUGCUACGUGAUCGUUAGCGACAUAGCUAUGUUAGCAUAACACAGACCUUUCCAAAGUGUGGGGCCCGCCCCCCGAGCCAUCGCAGGAGGGGCGUGGUAUGAAAAGGGGAAAAAAAAGAAGCAGCAUUCAGCAUAGCUGAAUAUGUUUCCAAACCAACUUCAUUCUAAGCCAAAGACUAGAAAAUAUGGUGAAGCAUAGUGCCAAGGUAGGUCUCCCCUGCAUAAUUGCUUUUCCCUUCGUCGGGAGCAGCGUUGGGCUCUUCAAAUCACGGACAAACAGUAUCCCACAUUCUUGAUUUUUAGUCAUUACAACAAGUGUUUGUGAACUAAAAAUCAAGAAUGUGGGAUACUGUCUGUCUGUGAUUUGAACCGGGAGAACAAAUUGUGGCAGGAUCAGCCUGAUAUUAUUUGUAUCCCACUGUAACUUUACUGUAUAAAGAGCUAACAUCUCCAAAAUGUCAGGAGUAGUUAGUCAUUACAACAAGUGUUUGUGAACUAACUACUCCUGACAUUUUGGAGAUGUUAGCUCUUUAUACAGUAAAGUUACAGUGGGAUACAAAUAAUAUCAGGCUGAUCCUGCCACAAUUUGUUCUCCCGGUUCAAAUCACAGACAGACAGUAUCCCACAGCUUUUUAUGUUUUUAAACCCAUUUUGCACAGAGAGGCAUUUUUGGAAAAAUGUAUUGAUAGCAAUGUUGAAUAUUAUUACAUGUAAAAUAAUUACACCGUGAUGCCUGUGGCUUUCUAAAUAGAGGGACAGUAACUGCAUGUGUAUACGUAAGCAUGUAAAACCUGAAGAUAGAGACAGAAUACUGUUAAUCUUACUAUCUGCCAUUCUGCAGUUCAUCUCAUGUAAACAAUAACGUGGCGCACAGCAUGACGUGAAAAAAGGCACAUACCUUUGACGUUGUGUGACGAACUCUGUAUUCCUCGUCCACACGUAAACGCAAAAAAGGAGUUUUAAAAAAUCUCAGUUUUCGGUGAUUCGAAACGCCGUUUACGUGUGGAUGAAACAGCUGCGUUUUCAAACCUACCCGUGUAGGUGCGGACGUAGCAUAAAAGAAUUUUCUUACUACCUGUAAUUUAUUGCAGAUUACUUGUAUUUGCUUAAUUGUUUACUAAAUGUUUGAGGUGUGAAAUAAACCGCAAUGGAGCAAAAUAUGGGUGUGUGUGGUUGGAGGAUGUGUUUGUGCGUGCGUGUGCGCGGGGGGGGGGGGGGGGGGGGGACAUUUUUCUUGUCAAAGGGGUCCCAGCAAAAAAAGUUUGGGAACCACUGGCAUAACACAAACACAUUAGCACAGUGAAGCUGGAGGAUGAACGCUAACUUUUUUCCACUCGAUAAAAGUUAACGUGAGGGUUCCCGAUGGUUAGGGACAAAUGCAAUCGCAUGGCAGGAUGCUGUAAACGGACCAAACUUAAGUCAGAAGAACAACUGAGAUAAUCCAUCCAAAAUACGAGGUUAGUCAUUAAUGUACUGCUGCAUGGGCUGGGCUGUAGUUACAUGGUAACGUUUUGAAAACUGACCUUUAAAAUAAAUAGUGGUAACAAAAACCGAGAGGCCGACAGUGAUCACUGACUGUUUUUAGGGGCUUGUUCAGAUUAAGUAGAACAAGAUACAAAGCAUUACAACACUUUAAAAACACAACAGUCUUAAUAAACAUGGAGUAGUUUGGACCCCGAAGCAGGGUUCAUACGUCAUCACUUAAAGACCGGAUCAUUGUGAUAAGAGCUCCAAAUUACAGUGUGCUGUGAAACAAAGUCCACAGUGCAGUACUCUGCUAAUGGUUUAGGCACUGAAAUUAUAUCUUUCAGAUAUAAUAUCAAGUGAUUAGGUUCAAAGACAAAUAAUGCUAUAAAUAUUCUUAUUCACUGAGCUUCACGCAAAGCACAAUCAAUCAGAAUGGAUCCAUGAUGUAACUGCUUUUUGCUUUUAACAUAACGUCAACUAUCCUUGUACAACUUUAUUUACAGCCUGUUUCAUAUUAUGAUAUUUACUGUAUGAAUAAUAUUUUGAAAAUCUCCGACCUGCUGCUCUAUUGACACUUUCCUUAAUGUUUUCUAGAUAAAGUAUGGUAACAGGACCGUAAGCCUCAGUAAGCCUCGGCCUUCAUCACAUCUUCUAUUGCUGCUUUUGCUGUUGAUACCCUGUGUUAUUGCUGGUACGUGAUUUUGAUACAUCAGCUUUUUAUUUUAUGACUAAGAUUUUUUUUCUUAGUUUCAGUGUCGCUGUUCGCAUACAUUGUACCAGAAAUACUUUGUAGAGCCGACACUAAUGCUAGCGUUAUAGUUAGUUUAGCUGUUAGCUAUAGAGUCCUUUUAGGGAAUCAGGCUCCAGAGGAACAAUGGCCUUUCAAUGGUUUAUUUUGCAUAGUCAGUUAAGUGUGUCUGAUACAUGGUUGAUUGUCCUUAACUGCUUGUUAAAAGUCCUAAACAAAAGAGCUAUACAAAUAAUAAUUAACCUCCUUGGCACAAGCUAUCAGUCCUUUGAAACUGGGCUUUCUAACAUGCUAUAUAGCCUUUUUUAAAGCUACGUUCACACGUCACAAGUCUCCAAAGUGGUUAGUGAGACAAAUUUUAUUUGUUUUUAUGCCAUUUGAAGCCCCAUUUGUGUCUACUCCCACAAUGAAACCAAGGAUCUUUUGUUUAUUAGGCAAGUGUGUAAACCCCUACACUAUAGAGCCACAGACUGAUGAAAACGUUUUCUACUCCACUUUAGUGACAACUCUCUAGUUUUCUGCUUGAUUUAAAUUAGUUACCGUUUGUCUUUCAGUGCUGGUGUUUAUGUAUCUGUGGAGGAAGAGACGUGCCACAGAAAUAACAUUUAAAGUUUCUUUCCGGUCUCUGCUGGCUGACUGACAAUCUUCACGGAGUUGCUGUACUAAAAGUUGAUUUUUCCAGUUGUUAUAUAAUUUUUUGUAUUUUCAUAUAUUUUUCAUUAGUCAUAUAAACAUAAAACUAAUUAAGGCUUUUCUUGAAAUGUUGAAUUAUUUUGUUCAAGCAGUAUCCCAUUAAAGAUUUUUCUGAUAUCUACUUUUGUGAUAGUUCUCUGACUAAACCAAUUGUUGGGAUUGUAUAUUUAAGACAUUAUAAUGUCAUGUUAUAUUUAACAUUUCCUAGAUUUCUUACAUUGUAUGUUAAACCUUUUGCAUGUUUAGAACAAUAAGAGUCAUUGUAAUAGAUAGUAUGCUACUUCUCUUUCUCUUAAGUGAAAGUGACAUAUGUACUUUUUGGCUCUAAAGCCAUAUAAAGCAUUUCUACAUGCUAUCUAUCUAUUUGGAGAUUGAUGGAGUACUGGAUUGGGCUCCUUUUUGGCCUCAGAACUGCUUUAAUUCUUCAUGAUACAGAUUAAACAAGAUGCUGGAA
rnacentral:lncRNA from 1 species